AACUUUCAACAACGGAUCUCUUGGUUCUCGCAUCGAUGAAGAACGCAGCGAAAUGCGAUAAGUAAUGUGAAUUGCAGAGUUCAGUGAAUCAUCGAAUCUUUGAACGCACAUUGCGCCCCCUGGUACUCCGGGGAGCAUGCCUGUCUGAGCGUCAUCGCACACCCUCUCGGGCCACGGCCCGGUGAUGGGGCACGACGCCGUGUUGUCCCGGGCUCAUCCCCGGGGCUGGUACAGCGUCGGCCUCCAAAUCCAUCGGACGGCGGCCCCAGCGGUCGGGCGCCCGUACGUGUUUGAUCUGCCCCAGUGGCAACCUCACGUGCGUGGCCCUGAUGUCUGGGGAUCUGUGUUGUGUCCGCACACAAACCAUGAAGCACUUGACCUCAGAUCAGGUAGGGAUACCAGCUGAACUUAAGAAUAUCAAUAAGAGGAGGCU
rnacentral:misc_RNA from 1 species